rnacentral:rRNA from 1 species
AACGAACGCUGGCGGCAGGCUUAACACAUGCAAGUCGAACGAUGUAGCAAUACAUAGUGGCGCACGGGUGAGUAACGCGUGGGAAUGUACCAUUUGGUGGGGAAUAACUAAGGGAAACUUUAGCUAAUACCGCAUACGCCCGAGAGGGGAAAGAUUUAUCGCCAAAUGAUCAGCCCGCGUGAGAUUAGGUAGUUGGUGGGGUAAUGGCCUACCAAGCCUACGAUCUCUAGCUGGUCUGAGAGGAUGAUCAGCCACACUGGAACUGAGACACGGUCCAGACUCCUACGGGAGGCAGCAGUGGGGAAUAUUGGGCAAUGGAGGAAACUCUGACCCAGCCAUGCCGCGUGAAUGAUGAAGGCCUUAGGGUUGUAAAGUUCUUUCGCCGAUGAAGAUAAUGACGGUAGUCGGAGAAGAAGCCCCGGCUAACUUCGUGCCAGCAGCCGCGGUAAU